GAAGCUGACCAGACAGUCGCCGCUUCGUCGUCGUCCUCUUCGGGGGAGACGGGUGGAGGGGAGGAAAGUCCGGGCUCCAUAGGGCAGGGUGCCAGGUAACGCCUGGGGGGGAAACCCACGACCAGUGCAACAGAGAGCAAACCGCCGAUGGCCCGUGCAAGCGGGAUCAGGUAAGGGUGAAAGGGUGCGGUAAGAGCGCACCGCGCGGCUGGUAACAGUCCGU
rnacentral:RNase_P_RNA from 1 species